GCACUUACUCGUCCAAUAAUGUGUCAAAUGUGCUUCAGCAAAACACCUGUCGCCGGUCAGCCGUAAUUCAUAGCCUAUAUAACGAACAUAUUCUAUAUUAUGUUAACGUUAGCCUACUGGUGUUGUGCUCAGUUUAGCGGCUAUUGUAAGCAACCAUUCCUUGUGCGGCGAUUAUGAAGACUUCGGGCGUUAAAGUGAUGAAGCGAACAACUAUGCCAUUCCGACGGGAGAAGAGAAAAUCUAGGGCAUACUCCACUUACAUCUACAGACUCCAGAAGGAGGGGAACUCCGCGAGCAAGUGCAUCACCGUGCCCAAAUCUCUCUCCGGAGAAACGUUUGCACUGGUGGUGUCCGAAGCAGCACGCCUUUCAAAGUUUAACAAGCGUAACGCCAUCACCCGCCACGAAGUCGGUUCUGCUGUGCAAUCGCUACGCCCUAAGAUGAACUUUGGCAAAGAAGGCGCUUAACGACCUACAUCCUACUUGUUUCGUAAAUCCUUUUAUAUGUAAUUUAUGUAAAGGUCUUUAAAUAAACUUAUUUUUUAAAUCAA